GCGAGUGCGCGACACAGCGGCGCAAGGGACCACGCGGCCGCGGCCGCCUCUAGGGCUAGCGCGCGGUGGCUCGCGUCCACGUGACCCGCACCGCCAUCACGGCACCACCACCGCCACCUCACCCGCCGCGGCCGAUGGCCCAACCCCCACCCAGAAAACUGAACCGCCCACCACCCAUACCCCGCCCCGCCUCGCCUCCUCACCUUAUCUUCCACCGCCGCCGCCGCCGCCUCCAUCUGUUACACCCAACUAAUCCUUAACCCUAGUUGCUGCCCGCCCCAGAUCUAGAUCUGAACUUCCGUGACUGCAGAUGGUGGCCGCGGGGGCGCAGGAGGCCGACGAGCCGCCGCUGCGGCCGGCGCUGAAGAAGAGCGCGCCGGCUCAGCCGUGGUCGUACGUGGAAACCAUGCACCUUAUCGAUGCCUACGAGGAGCGCUGGACGGCGCUGCGGCGCGGCCAGCUCAAGGCGCACCAAUGGGAGGAGGUGGCGGCAGAGGUCGCAGCUCGCUGCGCCGCGCCCGGGGCCGCCUCCCAGUGCAAGACGGGUACCCAGUGCCGCCACAAGCUCGAGAAGCUCCGCAAGCGCUACCGCACCGAGGGCACCCGCCCCGUCACCUCGCUCUGGCCUUACUUCCGCCGCAUGGAACGCCUCGAGCGCGGGCCCCUUCCCGUUUCCUCCGCCUACCCACCCACCGCCGGCUCCCCGCUCUCCUCCGCAGCCUCCGACGAGGAGGAGGAGGACGAAGCGGAACACGACGAGGAGGAAGAGGAGGAGCUCAGCUCUCGCAGCAACAAUACCAGAAGCAUCAGCGGCAUCCUCCGGGAAUUCGGCAGCGGCUUCGCCCCUCGCCACCCGCAGCUGCAGCUGCAGCAGCCGCCGCCUUCUGUCACGCCGUCCACCGCGCCUCCGCGGAAGAGAGUCGCCUACGAGGCGUUCCAGGCCAAGGCCGCCGCUGCGGCUGCGGCGGACAAGGUGAAGGAAGAGGAGGUGGAGAUAGCUCGCCGCCCCUCUGGUGGAGCCAACGCGCAGCUCUCGGCGGUGCUGAAGGAUUUCGGCAAGGGGUUCAUGCGGCUGGAUCGGCGGCGUAGGGAGGUGCAGUGGGAGAUCGAGCAGGGGUGGAAGGAGACGGAGGCUCGCCACGCCAAGAUGCUCCAGGACGCUCAGCGCCAGCUCCGUGACACCAUCGCCGCCUCUUGCGGUGCGCCGGCGAAGAAGGCCAGGAGGGAUCAUGGCAACCACGGAGACGGCUUGUAGGAAACAAUCGAUGGUUGCAGCUGCUUAAUUUGGUGAUCUGAUGGUGAGGGUAGGGAUUCCUGGUGUUCCUUACUCCUCGAGGCAUUUGAUUCUUUUUUGUCAUCCUACCUCAGGUGUUUGGCAUCUGGUGGGGCUGUGACUGUGAGCUCUGUGAAGCACAACUCUUCUAGUGAGGAUGGGGACUGGAAUUUGAAAGCUGAACAAGUGCAAUUUGGGUUCAAGUGUUGGAAGCUAAGUGGUUGACUAAAAUGAUCCUGGGCUGGAAAAAGCACCGGUGUUCUUCUGAAGUUAGGACUGACACCCCCAUUAUGUCAGUCUAAUGUUGGACCUGUCAUGACAGUUGUGCUUAAAACUUUGAUGUCCUCCAAAAGAAAACCCUUCUUGACUAGAAAUUGUGGGUAUGAGGAAGCCUAGUACAUCGUCAGCAGUGGUCGCCAAAAACGUGAUCGGCUACUUCAGACCCAGCGAUGUGCUCAUCUGUGACAUCUGUCUGUAGCAGAGGAAGCUUACCUCAUUCCUGAACAUGAUUUGGCAUCCCAGAGAAGUGUUCUGCGUUCAUGAUACACCAGACGUCAGGGAAUCUCAGAGUUGUUUGGUUCUGGAGGAUUUGAGGUCAAACCAGAGUCAGUCCUUUUGUGGUCUACCGUUUGUUUUAGUCACUCUUCCGAUCCUAUUUAUCUUCAGGUUUUUCCUGCAUGUUUUAUACUCUUAUCAAGUCAUUCUAAUUGCCAAAUCUUUCAGUACAUUAUUCGUCAGAUGACAGUGUGAUAGCUCCAUUCUUUCAUAGUUGAACCUUUUUUUUUUUUGUUACUGAGUUGCCUAUUUGUUCCUAUAAAACCUCAGUUGGCUUGCUGAUCUA